rnacentral:rRNA from 1 species
UACAGAGACUGCAAGCGUUAUUCGGAUUCACUGGGCGUAAAGGGCGCGUAGGCGGCGCGGUAAGUCACUUGUGAAAUCUCUGAGCUUAACUCAGAACGGCCAAGUGAUACUGCAGUGCUAGAGUGCAGAAAGGGCAAUCGGAAUUCUUGGUGUAGCGGUGAAAUGCGUAGAUAUCAAGAGGAACACCCGUGGUGCGGACGGCUUGCUGGACCAUGACUGACGCUGAGGCACGAAAGCGUGGGUAGCAAACAGG